GCAUUGGUGGCUCAGUGGUAGAUUUCUUGCCUGCCACACGGGAGAUCAGGGUCCGAUUCCCAGCCAAUGCA
rnacentral:tRNA from 1 species